rnacentral:rRNA from 1 species
CCAAUAGCGUAUAUUAAAGUUGUUGCAGUUAAAAAGCUCGUAGUUGAAUUUCGAGACCGGCUUACUGGUCGUGCUUUUGUACGUACUGGUAUAAUCGGUUUCUCCUUUCUGACGAACUAUAAUGCCAUUAAUUUGGUGUUAUAGGGAAUCAGGACUGUUACUUUGAAAAAAUUAGAGUGUUUAAAGCAGGCUCACGCUUGAAUACAUUAGCAUGGAAUAACGGAAUAGGACGUUUGAUUCUAUUUUGUUGGUUUCUAGGAUCUACGUAAUGAUUAAUAGUGAUAGUUAGGGGCAUUAGUAUUAAAUUGUCAGAGGUGAGAUUCUUGGAUUAAUUGAAGACUAACUACUGCGAAAGCAUUUGCCAAGGAUGUUUUUAUUAAUCAAGAACGAAAGUUAGGGGAUCGAAGACGAUCAGAUACCGUCGUAGUCUUAACCAUAAACUAUGCCGACUAGGGAUCGGAUGAUGUUAAUUUUUUAAUGACUCAUUCGGCGCCUUACG